rnacentral:rRNA from 1 species
UGAUGGAGGGGGAUAACUACUGGAAACGGUAGCUAAUACCGCAUAACGUCGCAAGACCAAAGAGGGGGACCUUCGGGCCUCUUGCCAUCGGAUGUGCCCAGAUGGGAUUAGCUAGUAGGUGGGGUAACGGCUCACCUAGGCGACGAUCCCUAGCUGGUCUGAGAGGAUGACCAGCCACACUGGAACUGAGACACGGUCCAGACUCCUACGGGAGGCAGCAGUGGGGAAUAUUGCACAAUGGGCGCAAGCCUGAUGCAGCCAUGCCGCGUGUAUGAAGAAGGCCUUCGGGUUGUAAAGUACUUUCAGCGGGGAGGAAGGGAGUAAAGUUAAUACCUUUGCUCAUUGACGUUACCCGCAGAAGAAGCACCGGCUAACUCCGUGCCAGCAGCCGCGGUAAUACGGAGGGUGCAAGCGUUAAUCGGAAUUACUGGGCGUAAAGCGCACGCAGGCGGAUUGUUAAGUCAGAUGUGA